CUGGAGGUAUCAGAAGUGCGAAUGCUGACAUAAGUAACGAUAAAGCGGGUGAAAAGCCCGCUCGCCGGAAGACCAAGGGUUCCUGUCCAACGUUAAUCGGGGCAGGGUGAGUCGACCCCUAAGGCGAGGCCGAAAGGCGUAGUCGAUGGGAAACGGGUUAAUAUUCCCGUACUUGGUGUUACUGCGAAGGGGGGACGGAGAAGGCUAUGUUGGCCGGGCGACGGUUGUCCCGGUUUAAGCGUGUAGGUGUGUGUUCCAGGUAAAUCCGGUUCACUUUAACACUGAGGCGUGACGACGAGGCACUACGG
rnacentral:rRNA from 1 species